AGAAAAGCAGAAAAGGGCACACGGUGGAUGCCUAGGCAUACAGUGGCGAUGAAGGACGUGCUAAGCUGCGAUAAUCUGCGGGGAGCUGCAAAGAAGCGUUGAUCCGCGGGUAUCCGAAUGGGGAAACCCAUCCGUCGUAAGACGGAUAUUCCUACGGGAAGGCAAACCCUCCGAACUGAAACAUCUAAGUAGGAGGAGGAAAAGAAAACAAUAGUGAUGUCCCAAGUAGUGGCGAGCGAACGGGACUCAGCCCAAACCCUGUCGGGGCAACCUGGCGGGGGGUUGAAGGACCACAAUAUCUGAACUCAAGGCGAGUCGAAGCUGACUGGAAAGCAGCCCCAUAGACGGUGAAAGGCCGGUAGGCGAAGCCAGCGGGGAGGUAGUGGUAUCCUGAGUAGUGCGGGACCGGUGAAAUCCUGCACGAAUCUGGCGGCACCAUCCGCCAAGGCUAAAUACAUCUGUAUGACCGAUAGUGGACAAGUACCGUGAGGGAAAGGUGAAAAGAACGCCGAGACGGCGAGUGAAAUAGUACCUGAAACCGUGUGCUUACAAGCGGUCGGAGUCUUCCUUCGGGAGGAUGACGGCGUGCCUUUUGUAUAAUGAGCCUACGAGUUGCUCCUGUCGUGCGAGGUUAAUCCGCUCAGCGGAGAAGCCGCAGCGAAAGCGAGUCUGAGAAGGGCGCGCAGUACGGCGGGGCAGACGCGAAACCGGGUGAUCUAUCCAUGGUCAGGGUGAAGGUGCCGUAACAGGUGCUGGAGGCCCGAACCGCCUGGCGUUGAAAAGCCAUCGGAUGAACUGUGGAUAGGGGUGAAAGGCCAAUCAAACUCGGAAAUAGCUCGUACUCCCCGAAAUAUAUUUAGGUAUAGCGUUUGCCAUAGAGCCUGCCGGAGGUAGAGCACUGAUUAGGCUAGGGCCCUUCACCGGGUACCAAACCUAGACAAACUCCGAAUGCCGGCAGGUGUUGGCAGGCAGUCAGCGGCAGGGUGAUAACGUCCUGUUGCGAGAGGGAAACAACCCAGAUCAUCGGUUAAGGUCCCAAAAUACCAGCUAAGUUGAACAAAGAAAGUUGGAUUGCCCAGACAACCAGGAGGUUGGCUUAGAAGCAGCCAUUCCUUAAAAGAGUGCGUAAUAGCUCACUGGUCGAGCGAUCCGGCGUCGAUAAUUUGCGGGCAUAAGCUGGUUACCGAAACCAUGGAUUCUAUCACUUGAUAGAGUGGUAGGGGAGCAUACCGACCCCGCCGAAGGCGGCCUGUGAGGGCUGCUGGAGGGGUCGGCAGAGAAACUGUAGGCAUGAGUAACGAUAAGACGGGUGAGAAACCCGUCCACCGAAAACCCAAGGGUUCCUGAUCAACGCUAAUCGGAUCAGGGUUAGUCGAGACCUAAGGUGUAGCCGAAAGGCGAAGCCGAUGGAAAACCGGUUCAAUAUUCCGGUACCGACUCCAACGCCAGGCAAAGGCGUGACGCAGAAGUGACACUUCCGCCUCUCUACGGAAUGGGAGGUUAAAGGAUGUAGGCUGCGGGGCAGGCAAAUCCGCCCCGCGAUCGGCUGAACUCCGACAGUACCGGGAGGCUUCGGCCAAACGGAUAGUGAAGGUAAUCUGGCUGCCAAGAAAAGCGUCGUUGUUUGUUGGAGCUGCUCGUACCCCAAACCAACACAGGUGGGUGAGGAGAGAAUCCUCAGGUGCUCGAGAAAAUCGUGGCUAAGGAACUAGGCAAAUUCGAUCCGUAACUUCGGGAGAAGGAUCCCCUGCCCUGAUUCGUCAGGGCGGGGCGCAGUGAAAAGGUUCAAGCGACUGUUUACCAAAAACACAUGUCUCUGCUAAGCCGCAAGGCGAUGUAUAGGGACUGACACCUGCCCGGUGCCGGAAGGUUAAAGAAGCCAGUUAGCUUCGGCAAAGCUGGCGACUGAAGCCCCGGUAAACGGCGGCCGUAACUAUAACGGUCCUAAGGUAGCGAAAUUCCUUGUCGGGUAAGUUCCGACCUGCACGAAUGGUGUAACGACUUGAACACUGUCUCGGCCACGAGCUCGGUGAAAUUGUGGUAUCGGUGAUGACGCCGAUUACCCGCAGCGGGACGGAAAGACCCCGUGAACCUUUACUACAACUUUACAUUGGCUUCGGCUGCUGCAUGUGCAGGAUAGGCGGGAGACUUAGAAGCGGGCGCGCCAGCGUCUGUGGAGUCGACGGUGAAAUACCGCCCUUGGAGCCGCUGGAUUCUAAUCCCGGCAAUCCGGGAGACAGUGUAUGGUGGGUAGUUUGACUGGGGCGGUCGCCUCCUAAACAGUAACGGAGGCUCCCAAAGGUACCCUCAGCACGGCCGGCAAUCGUGCGUAGAGUGUAAAAGCAUAAGGGUGCUUGACUGUAAGGCAUACAGGCCGAGCAGGCACGAAAGUGGGGUUUAGUGAUCCGGUGGCACCGAAUGGAAGGGCCAUCGCUCAAAGGAUAAAAGGUACUCCGGGGAUAACAGGCUUAUCUCCCCCAAGAGUUCACAUCGACGGGGAGGUUUGGCACCUCGAUGUCGGCUCAUCGCAUCCUGGGGCUGGAGAAGGUCCCAAGGGUUUGGCUGUUCGCCAAUUAAAGCGGUACGCGAGCUGGGUUCAGAACGUCGUGAGACAGUUCGGUCCCUAUCUGCUGUGGGCGUAGGAAUAUUGAGGAGAGCUGCUCCUAGUACGAGAGGACCGGAGUGGACGCACCGCUAGUGUACCUGUUGUGACGCCAGUUGCAUCGCAGGGUAGCUAUGUGCGCAGGUGAUAAGCCGCUGAAUGCAUCUAAGCGCGAAGCACACUCCAAGAUAGGUAUUCCCCAAAGAGUCCAGGAAGACGACCUGGUUGAUAGGCGGCAGGUGUACGCAUGGUAACAUGUUCAGCCGAGCCGUACUAAUGACUCUUCAGGCUUUGUUUG
rnacentral:rRNA from 1 species